rnacentral:ncRNA from 1 species
AUUAAGGGUAGAGGCGCAUUGUCUAUAAGUAGUUUGCCGGAGGUGAUUCCAGUGAUGGCAAGUGAAAGGAGCCAAUGCCGAAGUGAGAAUGAGCUAUCAACUCAUCUUGCUGGGGUUGUCACCGAACAGGGUCAACACUGCCAUAGUAUAUAAUGACAUUAACUAUGGAGCGCUACUGUGGGG